UACGUAGGUGACAAGCGUUGUCCGGAUUUACUGGGCGUAAAGCGCGCGCAGGCGGCGGUGUUGGCCCGGCGUGAAAGCCCCCGGCUCAACCGGGGAGAGUCGUCGGGACCGCACCGCUUGAGGGCGGUAGGGGCUGGUGGAAUGCCUGGUGUAGUGGUGAAAUGCGUAGAUAUCUGGAGGAACACCCGUGGUGCAGACGGCUUGCUGGACCAUGACUGACGCUGAGGCACGAAAGCGUGGGGAGCAAACAGG
rnacentral:rRNA from 1 species